AUUGAACGCUGGCGGUAGGCCUAACACAUGCAAGUCGAACGAGUGGCGGACGGGUGAGUAAUGUCUGGGAAACUGCCCGAUGGAGGGGGAUAACUACUGGAAACGGUAGCUAAUACCGCAUACCAGCGGAUGUGCCCAGAUGGGAUUAGCUAGUAGGUGGGGUAACGGCUCACCUAGGCGACGAUCCCUACCUGGUCUGAGAGGAUGACCGGCCACACUGGAACUGAGACACGGUCCAGACUCCUACGGGAGGCAGCAGUGGGGAAUAUUGCACAAUGGGCGCAAGCCUGAUGCAGCCAUGCCGCGUGUAUGAAGAAGGCCUUCGGUUUGUAAAGUACUUUCAGCGAGGAGGCGUUACUCGCAGAGGAAGCACCGGCUAACUCCGUGCCAGCAGCCGCGGUAAUAC
rnacentral:rRNA from 1 species